rnacentral:misc_RNA from 1 species
UAAUAAGUGUUUUAUGGCGCUUUUUAAGUCCAUAUCCACCUUGUGUGCAAUGUCAGUCGAUCUUCUUCAUGGAGAUCGACCAAACAUCAACCUUUAUCUUUUAACUCUUUGUCUGAAAAAUAUUAUGAAUAAACAAUUCAAAAUA